rnacentral:rRNA from 1 species
UCGCGAAUUUUGGACAAUGGGCGCAAGCCUGAUCCAGCAAUGCCGCGUGCAGGAAGAAGGCCUUCGGGUUGUAAACUGCUUUUGUACGGAACGAAAAGGUCUGCCCUAAUACGGUGGGCUCAUGACGGUACCGUAAGAAUAAGCACCGGCUAACUACGUGCCAGCAGCCGCGGUAAUACGUAGGGUGCGAGCGUUAAUCGGAAUUACUGGGCGUAAAGCGUGCGCAGGCGGUUAUAUAAGACAGAUGUGAAAUCCCCGGGCUCAACCUGGGAAUUGCAUYUGUGACUGUAUAGCUAGAGUACGGUAGAGGGGGAUGGAAUUCCGCGUGUAGCAGUGAAAUGCGUAGAUAUGCGGAGGAACACCGAUGGCGAAGGCAAUCCCCUGGACCUGUACUGACGCUCAUGCACGAAAGCGUGGGGAGCAAACAGGAUUAGAUACCCUGGUAGUCCACGCCCUAAACGAUGUCAACUGGUUGUUGGGUCUUCACUGACUCAGUAACGAAGCUAACGCGUGAAGUUGACCGCCUGGGGAGUACGGCCGCAAGGUUG